rnacentral:rRNA from 1 species
GCGAGCCCAACCUCCCUCCCGUGUUUACUGUACCUUAGUUGCUUCGGCGGGCCCGCCAUUCGUGGCCGCCGGGGGCUCUCAGCCCCGGGCCCGCGCCCGCCGGAGACACCACGAACUCUGUCUGAUCUAGUGAAGUCUGAGUUGAUUGUAUCGCAAUCAGUUAAAACUUUCAACAAUGGAUCUCUUGGUUCCGGCAUCGAUGAAGAACGCAGCGAAAUGCGAUAACUAGUGUGAAUUGCAGAAUUCCGUGAAUCAUCGAGUCUUUGAACGCACAUUGCGCCCCCUGGUAUUCCGGGGGGCAUGCCUGUCCGAGCGUCAUUGCUGCCCAUCAAGCACGGCUUGUGUGUUGGGUCGUCGUCCCCUCUCCGGGGGGGACGGGCCCCAAAGGCAGCGGCGGCACCGCGUCCGAUCCUCGAGCGUAUGGGGCUUUGUCACCCGCUCUGUAGGCCCGGCCGGCGCUUGCCGAACGCAAAUCAAU